rnacentral:rRNA from 1 species
UAGGGAAUCUUGCGCAAUGGGCGAAAGCCUGACGCAGCCAUGCCGCGUGAAUGAUGAAGGUCUUAGGAUUGUAAAAUUCUUUCACCGGGGAAGAUUACGACGGUACCCGGAGAAGAAGCCCCGGCUAACUUCGUGCCAGCAGCCGCGGUAAUACGAAGGGGGCUAGCGUUGCUCGGAAUUACUGGGCGUAAAGGGCGCGUAGGCGGAUAUUUAAGUUGGGGGUGAAAGCCCGGGGCUCAACCUCGGAAUAGCCUUCAAUACUGGAUAUCUUGAGUUCGGGAGAGGUGAGUGGAAUGCCGAGUGUAGAGGUGAAAUUCGUAGAUAUUCGGCGGAACACCAGUGGCGAAGGCGACUCACUGGCCCGAUACUGACGCUGAGGCGCGAAAGCGUGGGGAGCAAACAGGAUUAGAUACCCUGGUAGUCCACGCCGUAAACGAUGAGUGCUAGUUGUCGGCAUGCAUGCAUGUCGGUGACGCAGCUAACGCAUUAAGCACUCCGCCUGGGGAGUACGGUCGCAAGAUUAAAACUUAAAGGAAUUGACGGGGGUCAUAGCUGUUUCCUG